UACGUAGGGGGCAAGCGUUGUCCGGAAUUAUUGGGCGUAAAGAGCGUGUAGGCGGCUUGGUAAGUCUGCUGUGAAAGCCCAGGGCUCAACCCUGGAAUGCCGGUGGAUACUGCCAAGCUAGAGUUCGGAAGAGGCGAGUGGAAUUCCUGGUGUAGCGGUGAAAUGCGCAGAUAUCAGGAGGAACACCAAUAGCGAAGGCAGCUCGCUGGGACGAUACUGACGCUGAGACGCGAAAGCGUGGGGAGCAAACAGG
rnacentral:rRNA from 1 species